rnacentral:tRNA from 1 species
GGUGUAGCUCAGCGGUUAGAGCGCCACCCUCAUAAAGUGGAUGUCGGAGGUUCGACUCCUCCCACC